AACACAGAUAAAUGGGAAAACAUUCCAUGCUCAUGGAUUGAAAGAAUCAGUAUUGUUAAAAUGGCCAUGAUACCCAAAGCAAUUUAUAGAGUAAAUGCUAUUCCUGUCAAAGGGCUAACAUCGUUUUUUACAGAAUUAGAAAAAAAGUUCUAAAAUUCAUAUGGAACCAAAAAAAAAGAGACUUAAUAGCCAAAGCAAUCCUCAGCAAAAAGAACAAAUCUGGAGGCAUCACAUUACCUGACUUCAAACUAUACUAUAAGGCUACAGCAACCAAAACAGCAUAGUACUGAUACAAAAACAGACACAUAGACCAAUGGAACAGGAUGGAGAACCCAGAAAUAAAGCCACACUCCUACAACCACUCAAUCUUUGACAAAGUUGACAAAAAUAAGCAAUGAGAAAAAACUUCCUAUUCAAUAAAUGAUGCUGGGAUAACUGGCUAGCCACAUGCAGAGAUUGAAACUGAACCCCUACCUAUAACCAUAUAUAAAGAUUAACUCAACCUAGAUUAAAGACUUGAAUAUAAGACCUUAAACUAUACAAUCCUAGAAGAAAACCUAGGAAAUACUUCUCUUAAUAUCAGCCAUGGCAAAGGAUUUAUGGCGAGGCCCUCAAAGGUAAUUCCAGCAAACACAAAAAUUGACAAGUGGGUUCUAAUCAAUCUAAACAUCUUCUGCACAGGAAAAGAAACUAUCAAGGGAGUAAACAGAAAACCUACAGAAUGGAAGAAAAUAUUUGCAAACUAUGCAUCCGUCAAAGGUUUAAUAUCCCAAAUCUACGAGGAAUUUAAAUCAACAAGCAAAGAAACCAAGUAACCUCAUCAAAAAGUGUGCAAAGAACAUGAACAGACACUUCUAAAGAGAAAACAUACAAGUGGCCAAGAAACAUAUGAAAAAAGGUUCAUGAUUGCUAGUCAUCAGAGAAAUGCAAAGAAAUUGUCUCUAAAAGGCUCCUGAUGCUCCACCGGUGAGUGGUAAAGCCUGGGGAAAAUAAAUAUGACUUCUGUGACAUCAGUUAUAUUAAUGGGGUGAGUUGACAGUUGUAAAAACCUUGAC
rnacentral:lncRNA from 10 species